UACGAAGGGGGCGAGCGUUGUUCGGAUUUACUGGGCGUAAAGGGCGCGCAGGCGGCUCAUUUUGUCAGGCGUGAAAGCCCCGGGCUUAACCUGGGAACUGCGUUUGAUACGGAUGGGCUAGAGUUCGGGAGAGGAGAGUGGAAUUCCCAGUGUAGAGGUGAAAUUCGUAGAUAUUGGGAAGGACACCGGUGGCGAAGGCGGCUCUCUGGACCGAGACUGACGCUGAGGCGCGAAAGCGUGGGGAGCAAACAGG
rnacentral:rRNA from 1 species